rnacentral:rRNA from 1 species
UUUUAUGGAGAGUUUGAUCCUGGCUCAGGAUGAACGCUGGCGGCGUGCCUAAUACAUGCAAGUCGAGCGAACAGACGAGGAGCUUGCUUCUCUGACGUUAGCGGCGGACG